UACCCAACCAGGAAUCGAAAGUUAGACGGAGUGGAAAAUUUACUUGACACUUUGGAUGAAGUUAUUUGUCAGAAAACAGAAUCAGGCGUCAGUGAUGGCUGCGAACACGGGGAACCUGCAGCCGGGCGCAGGCAAUAGUUUCGAGCAUCCCAUGACCAGGACCAGCUCUCUGGAGUCCCUGACCGACCCAAAACCUGCAGACUGGCGACAUUACAGGGAGAGACUGAAGCGUCCAGCAAACAAUAUCCUUCACUACCACAGUAAGGAGGAGGGUUUAGACUUCUAGACUGGAGCAAAACCUCCCAGCUUACAACCAUGACCAGACCAGACCCACACAGACAACUACAACAACAUCUUGAUGAAAGCAAGCUGGAUCAUUAUUAUAGCACCAACAUGAGAAAUCCCUUUUACAACCUGGAGGUCAACAGUACCAUUCAGCAAACAUAGCUAAGCUCUGAAUGCACAGAACACUAAAAAUGUACAGAGUGUUGAAAAUGUAAGCACAGAGCAGGAACGAGCACCGUGCUCAAAAUGUAAAAAUGUACAGAGUGCUGAAAAUGUAAGCACUAACUGCUCAAAGUACAAAAAUGUACAGUGCUGAAAAUGUAAGCACCAAGUGCUGAGGUGAAAAUGAAAGAUUUUGAUUUCUCAUUUUCACUUCAGCUGAACACUGAUGAAACCUCAGGGUUUUACAGUGAAAUGAAAAGUGCUCCAAGUACAACAAUGUACAGAGUGCUGAAAAUGUAAGCACAGAGCACGAACGAGCACCGUGCUUAAAAUGUAAAAAUGUACAGAGUGCUGAAAAUGUAAGCACAGAGCACGAACGAGCACUGUGCUCAAAAUGUAAAAAUGUACAGAGUGCUGAAAAUGUAAGCACAGAGCACGAACGAGCACCGUGCUUAAAAUGUAAAAAUGUACAGAGUGCUGAAAAUGUAAGCACAGAGCACGAACGAGCACCGUGCUCAAAAUGUAAAAAUGUACAGAGUGCUGAAAAUGUAAGCACAGAGCACGAACGAGCACCGUGCUUAAAAUGUAAAAAUGUACAGAGUGCUGAAAAUGUAAGCACAGAGCACGAACGAGCACCGUGCUCAAAAUGUAAAAAUGUACAGUGCUGAAAAUGUAAGCACAGAGCACAAACGAGCACCGUGCUCAAAAUGUAAAAAUGUACAGUGCUGAAAAUGUAAGCACCAAGUGUUCAAAUACAAAAAUGUACAGUGCUGAAAAUGUAAGCACCAAGUGCUCAAAUACAAAAAUGUACAAUGCUGAAAAUGUAAGCACCAAGUGUUCAAAUACAAAAAUGUACAGUGCUGAAAAUGUAAGCACCAAGUGCUCAAAUACAAAAAUGUACAGUGCUGAAAAUGUAAGCACCAAGUGUUCAAAUACAAAAAUGUACAGUGCUGAAAAUGUAAGCACCAAGUGUUCAAAUACAAAAAUGUACAGUGCUGAAAAAGUAAGCACCAAGUGCUGAGGUGAAAAUGAAAGAUUUUGAUUUCUCAUUUUCACCUCAGCUGAACAUUGAUGAAACCUUAGUGUUUUACAGUGAAAUGGAAAGUGCUCUAAGUACAACAAUGUACAGAGUGCUGAAAAUGUAAGCACAGAGCACGAACGAGCACCGUGCUCAAAUUGCAAGUUUACAGAGUGCUGAAAAUGUAAGCACCAACUGCUCAAAGUACAAAAAUGUACAGUGCUGAAAAUGUAAGCACCAAGUGCUGAAGUGAAAAUGAAAGAUUUUGAUUUCUCAUUUUCACUUCAGCUGAACACUGAGGAAACCUCUGGGUUUUACAGUGAAAUGAAAACUGCAUUGUAGUAAGAAGUGGAGCUAUUUCGACACCAUAUUGGUACACCCAACUCUGUGAUAGUUUAUAGCCACUGUAGUCAUUACAACUGUCUCUGUUAACCUCAAGUGAAGGUUUCACCUUUAAAUGAUUUCCCAUUACUAGUACAAUAUAUUAGCUAUGAAUGUUCAUUAAUUCAUUCAUUGAUGCAUUUUCCAAACCUCUUAUCCAUAAUAGUCAUGGGGGGUGCUGGAGCCUAUCCCAGCACUCAUUGGGUGGGAGGCAGGGGAAACACCUGGACCAGUCGCCGGUCCAUCACAGAGCUAUGAACAUUACUUAAGCAAAUAAAAAAUAAAUGUUUGAUUUUUCGAUUACCUUUACUAUUAACACACAAGUGACAGUUGUCAUUCCAGUCAUUAUACAGACCCACAUAAUAAAUUGUUCUCUUUCAGCUUGUAUCAUUAGCCAUAUGGACAGAAGUUAGUAGUAGUGAAUAAAACCAUACAUCCAAUGAUGCCAUAUCAUUUUUUUGAAUAUUAAGUUUCUCCUCAUUUUAUUGUCACCUGUGGAUUGUUUUCCCAGUCCACCAGUGUUUGGGUGUACCAAUAUGGCAGCUGACCAGUGGUAAAAACCACUACUUACUGCACUUCACAGUGGGAGUCCUUCAGUUACACAGUAUACAUCUCUACAGGUGUAUGUGUGUUUAAGAGUUUAUGUCAAAUCCUUUUGUACAACACUUUAAACAAAUAAAGUUUUUGUACUUCUAAA